rnacentral:lncRNA from 1 species
GCAGCUCACCCAGCCCGGCCUCAUGGUUGAGGAUUUCUGCAUCGGCCAUGGGCUGGAGCUGAUAGUGCUUUCACAGGGGGCAGGCUGGGUGUUCCAUCUUUGCAGGACAUGCUUUGUGUGGCCCAGCCGUGAGACACUGCCUCCCUGGGGGAAGGCGCUUCUGCUUUAGGGAAAACAGACUCUUAGAUCUGCUUUAGAGAAAAUAGACCAUCGAUGGCCAGCAAAUGAUGUUUCCUUUGGACACACUAGUGAACAAUAAAAGAGGAUCCUUGGGCUGCUGAGAUGACUCAGUGGAUACAGCUGCUUGCUGCCAAGUGGGAUGACCUGAAUAUGAUUCCUGGAACCCACAUGUUGCAAGGAAGAGAACCAACUUCCACAAGCUGUCCUUUGACUCCACACGUAUUCUGUGACAUGCACACGCAGACGUGCACACACACACUCAUGGUACGCACACAUGCAGAAGCACUAAAGACUACUGUUUGAACACUGUACUGUAGAAGGCACAGACUGAGAUGUUGGGUCAACUGGGCAUGCCUGUCUUUGUGACUGGCUGCAUUAUCGAUCCUCCGAGCCUGUGUGCCACGCUGGAAAGCUGGAUCUAAGAGUACUCUCUUCCCCAACUCAUAAUAAGGGAGAGCCUUGUCCUGUUGGUCCCUGCAG